rnacentral:tRNA from 2 species
GGCUCUUUGGUCUAGAGGCAUGAUUUCUCUUUCGGGCUUAGUCCCCCUUGCAAUAUUGCGAGGGUCCAAUAGAGGAGGUCGGGGGUUCGAUUCCCCCAAGAGCCC